GUGAAGGAUGAAGGCCCUAUGGGUCGUAAACUUCUUUUAUACACCAAGAAAAACACCCACGUGUGGGUGCCCGACGGUAGUGUAUGAAUAAGCAUCGGCUAACUCCGUGCCAGCAGCCGCGGUAAUACGGAGGAUGCAAGCGUUAUCCGGAUUCAUUGGGUUUAAAGGGUGCGUAGGCGGCUUUUUAAGUCAGUGGUGAAAUCUUGCCGCUUAACGGUAAAAUUGCCAUUGAUACUGAUAAGCUUGAGUACAAUUGAGGUAAGCGGAAUGUGUAGUGUAGCGGUGAAAUGCUUAGAUAUUACACAGAACACCGAUUGCGAAGGCAGCUUACUAAACUGUUACUGACGCUGAUGCACGAAAGCGUGGGGAGCGAACAGGAUUAGAUACCCUGGUAGUCCACGCCGUAAACGAUGAUCACUCGCUGUAUGCGAUACACAGUAUGCGGCCAAGCGAAAGCAUUAAGUGAUCCACCUGGGGGAGUACGAUCGCAAGGUUG
rnacentral:rRNA from 1 species